GGACCCGCACAAGCGGUGGAGCAUGUGGUUUAAUUCGAUGCAACGCGAAGAACCUUACCUGGUCUUGACAUCCUCGGAACCCUGCAGAGAUGCGGGGGUGCCUUCGGGAGCCGAGAGACAGGUGCUGCAUGGCUGUCGUCAGCUCGUGUCGUGAGAUGUUGGGUUAAGUCCCGCAACGAGCGCAACCCUUGUCCCUAGUUGCCAGCACUUCGGGUGGGAACUCUAGGGAGACCGCCGGUGACAAACCGGAGGAAGGUGGGGAUGACGUCAAGUCAUCAUGGCCCUCAUGACCAGGGCUACACACGUGCUACAAUGGCCGGUACAAAGGGCUGCCAACCCGCGAGGGGGAGCCAAUCCCAGAAAGCCGGUCGUAGUCCGGAUCGGAGUCUGCAACUCGACUCCGUGAAGUCGGAAUCGCUAGUAAUCGCGAAUCAGCAACGUCGCGGUGAAUACGUUCCCGGGUCUU
rnacentral:rRNA from 1 species